AGUGAACGCUGGCGGCGUGCCUAAUACAUGCAAGUCGAACGGAGUGGCGCACGGGUGAGUAAUGUAUAGCUAAUCUGCCCUACACUAGAGGACAACAGUUGGAAACGACUGCUAAUACUCUCUAGUGUAGGAUGUGGCUAUAUUGUAUAAGCUAGUUGGUGAGGUAAUGGCUCACCCAGGUGCUGACGCAUAACUGGUCUGAGAGGAUGAGCAGUCGAACUGGACGGGAGACACCAUCCAGAAUCCUAGGGGAGUGGGCAGUAGCGAAUAUUGCUCAAUGGGGGAAUCCGUGAAGGGGCGACGGGGCGUGAAGGACGACACGUUGCGGAGCGGAGACUCCUUUUGUUAGGGAAGCGUUACCCAACGAAUAAGCACCGGCUAACUCCGUGCCAGCCGCCGCGGUAAUUC
rnacentral:rRNA from 1 species